rnacentral:rRNA from 1 species
UACAGAGGUCUCAAGCGUUGUUCGGAUUCAUUGGGCGUAAAGGGUGCGUAGGUGGCGGGGUUAGUCAGGUGUGAAAUCUCGGAGCUCAACUCCGAAACUGCACUUGAUACUGCCUUGCUAGAGUACUGGAGAGGAGAUUGGAAUUUACGGUGUAGCAGUGAAAUGCGUAGAUAUCGUAAGGAAGACCAGUGGCGAAGGCGAAUCUCUGGACAGUUACUGACACUGAGGCACGAAGGCCAGGGGAGCAAACGGG